GCACCAAGAUUCAUAAAGCAAGUCCUGAGUGACCUACAAAGAGACUUAGACUCCCACACAUUAAUAAUGGGAGACUUUAACACCCCACUGUCAACAUUAGACAGAUCAACGAGACAGAAAGUCAACAAGGAUACCCAGGACUUGAACUCAGCUCUACACCAACCGGACCUAAUAGACAUCUACAGAACUCUCCACCCCAAAUCAACAGAAUAUACAUUUUUUUCAGCACCACACCACACCUAUUCCAAAAUUGACCACAUACUGGGAAGUAAAGCUCUCCUCAGCAGAUGUAAAAGAACAGAAAUUAUAACAAACUAUCUCUCAGACCACAGUGCAAUCAAACUAGAACUCAGAAUUAAGAAUCUCACUCAAAACCGCUCAACUACCUGGAAACUGAACAACCUGCUCCUGAAUGACUACUGGAUACAUAACAAAAUGAAGGCAGAAAUAAAGAUGUUCUUUGAAACCAACGAGAACAAAGACACAACAUACCAGAAUCUCUGGGACGCAUUCAAAGCAGUGUGUAGAGGGAAAUUUAUAGCACUAAAUGCCCACAAGAGAAAGCAGGAAAGAUCCAAAAUUAACACCCUAACAUCACAAUUAAAAGAACUAGAAAAGCAAGAGCAAACACAUUCAAAAGCUAGCAGAAGGCAAGAAAUAACUAAAAUCAGAGCAGAACUGAAGGAAAUAGAGACACAAAAAACCCUUCAAAAAAUCAAUGAAUCCAGGAGCUGGCUUUUUGAAAGGAUCAACAAAAUUGAUAGACCGCUAGCAAGACUAAUAAAGAAAAAAAGAGGGAAGAAUCAAAUAGACACAAUAAAAAAGGAUAAAGGGGAUAUCACCACCGAUCCCACAGAAAUGCAAACUACCAUCAGAGAAUACUACAAACACCUCUACGCAAAUAAACUAGAAAAUCUAGAAGAAAUUGAUAAAUUCCUGGACACAUACACCCUCCCAAGACUAAACCAGGAAGAAGUUGAAUCUCUGAAGAGACCAAUAACAGGAGCUGAAAUUGUGGCAAUAAUCAAUAGCUUACCAACCAAAAAGAGUCCAGGACCAGAUGGAUUCACAGCCGAAUUCUACCAGAGGUACAAGGAGGAACUGGUACCAUUCCUUCUGAAACUAUUCCAAUCAAUAGAAAAAGAGGGAAUCCUCCCUAACUCAUUUUAUGAGGCCAGCAUCAUUCUGAUACCAAAGCCAGGCAGGGACACAAGAAAAAAAGAGAAUUUUAGACCAAUAUCCUUGAUGAACAUCGAUGCAAAAAUCCUCAAUCAAAUACUGGCAAAACGAAUCCAGCAGCACAUCAAAAAGCUUAUCCACCAUGAUCAAGUGGGCUUCAUCCCUGGGAUGCAAGGCUGGUUCAAUAUACGCAAAUCAAUAAAUGUAAUCCAGCAUAUAAACAGAGCCAAAGACAAAAACCACAUGAUUAUCUCAAUAGAUGCAGAAAAAGCCUUCGACAAAAUUCAACAACCCUUCAUGCUAAAAACUCUCAAUAAAUUAGGUAUUGAUGGGACGUAUUUCAAAAUAAUAGGAGCUAUCUAUGACAAACCCACAGCCAAUAUCAUACUGAAUGGGCAAAAACUGGAAGCAUUCCCUUUGAAAACUGG
rnacentral:lncRNA from 1 species